GCAGAGCAACCUCCAGGCGGAACUGGGGCGUCGCCGACUCCGGGGACCGACACACCCGGUGUGAAAAGGUGGUGGCACGCGGAGCGGUGCGCAUGCGCGGGCAGUCCUCGGGGUGAAGGGUUGAGAGCCGGACCGGGCGGCCAGCUGGGCUGGAGCGGAGCAGCGUCAGGAUGGACGAGGACGUGCUGCCCGCCCUGAAGGUCCUCAUCGUCGGCGAGAGCCGCGUCGGCAAGUCCAGCCUGCUCUUGCGGUUCACGGAUGAUACUUUUGAUCCAGAACUUGCCGCAACAAUUGCUUAUGAUGUGACAAGAAGGGACACCUUUGUUAAACUGGAUAACUGGCUAAGUGAAUUGGAAACAUAUUGCACGAGAAAUGACAUAGUAAACAUGCUAGUUGGAAAUAAAAUCGAUAAGUAAAAUCGUGAAGUUGACAGAAAUGAAGGCCUGAAAUUUGCAUGAAAGCAUUCCAUGUUAUUUAUAGCAUGAUACAAUCGCAAAUAAUGUGAGCAGAAGAUAUGCCGUGUAAAACAAAGGGACCACUGUCCUAGCAGUCGCCUCAAAUUCCAGUUUCCUAGAAAGUAAUGUGAAGCAGACCACCUGUCGUAAAAAUACACUCAGUGACACCAAGCAAAUUUUCGGGGCUCCAGAAACAGCGCAGACGUGGAGUGAGAGCAUUCUAACUAGAAAAUCUAACUUCAAAAGUCACCCUGAAGAUCAAUGUCUGCCCUGAACACGCCCACCCCUGCGGUGUAGAAUGAGUGUUUCCCACUAGAAUGCCACCCAGUAUCUAGGCUGGCGGCUUCCCUUGGUGUCCCUUGAAGAAAGCUGGCUGAAGCAUCCAAGAGAGUGGAGCAGACCCGGUUUCAAGUCAAGGCCUCCUCCAAAUAGCCAGGCAUGCCCACGUCCUUGGACAGGUCUUAUCCCUCCCACCUUCUCCUCCCUCUAGACCCAGCCCCGGGCACCUGGAUGUCCUUCAAGGCCAGGUGCUUUUCAAUGGCGUGAAUUUGGUCCAGGAACUCGAGCAGCCACUUCUGGUUGCGCUCGCUGUCCUCGGGGUCCGUGGUCUUCCGGUAGUACUGCAGCCGCAUGGCCUUGGCUUGCAGGUGUAACCGGCUUCUCCCCGCCCUGGGACCCAGGACAGUUCCUCCCAAGAAGCCGGCCAAGUAGAGGGGCACAGCAGAGGUGUUGUAAAUAGGGAAGGUGAUGCUUUUCAGGUCCAUGUUGUUAUUCUUGUGCCAGAUGAACAGGAGUGGGUUGGAGGGCAUGCAGGUGCCCUGGUACCUGUCACACACCUGAGGGGAGAGGACCUGGGUUCCAUCUCCUGGGGCACGGUCAGCGUCUGCACCACCUCAUCCAGUUGACUAAUUUCUGAGAAGAUGACUGGAUCCAGCAGAUUGGCAGUGUUGGAGACCACCCGGACGGAGGCGAAGUUGACCUCGGCACUGGACCGCAACAGGGAGAAGAGGUGAGACUCGUUGGUGGAGAAAUGUGCCUGCACGAAGUGCCACUUGGCCUUGGCUGGGCUGCCCAAGGCUCUCUUCCGUCUCUCCUCCAGGCUCUCUUCCGUCUCUCUGGGCCGGUAAAUCCACCCGGUGCCCAGGACAGCCGUCAGCACCGGGGCACCAGCAGGAAGAGCCAGGGUUGCAAGCCCACAGCCAGCCCCAUCCUCUGGAAGCCCCGGGCGAGGGGCUGCUCCAGGCAGUUGGUGUGGCAGCGGGGCCUCCCAGGGGGUGGCUGCUGCCCCUGGGCUUCCGGGACCAGUGAAUCCCCUCAGAUGGCUGGCGGGGUGGGUCUGAGGAAGGCCCCGAAGCCAGGCUAAUGUCGGGCUCCCUCACUGGACCCCAGGACCUUGCUCUGGCUGCCCCGCGGAGGCGGGGAGCUGCUGGGGCGCAGAUGCCGCCCCAGGGUCUGCUCUGCUCUCAGACUCUGGCUCAGGCCAGUCCUCCUGCUCUGGCCUCUGAAGCCUCCCCUUGCUUGAACCCUCCCUUGGGGUGCAAACUUGAAGGGAUGGACACCCAUUUCCGGAAGGACCAACCGGUUGUUCAACAGGAGAACGAGAAAGCAGUGACUGGAUGGGGCGCCCAGUCCCCUCCCCCUGGCAGCUUCCGCAAGGAAUCCACAGGGAGGCUGUGCUGAUGGUCUCCUGCUCCUGCCACCUUUGACCUUCGCUGCACAUGCCAUGUCGGGAUGGGGAGGGUGGAGGGGGGCGUGCUUUGCUAGAGAGCUGGGUCUUGACAGCUGGCCUAGUAGAGGGGAAAUGGUUUCCAGGUGGGUCUGAGCUCCUGCCCUUAGGAUUCCCCUGCCUGAGGAGCCUGCAUUUGCUACACUGUUAUCAGUUGUGCCUUCUGUGGCCCUGGCAGGAGUAUUGAUAUAUUCGCGGAGAGAAGGGGAGGACUCCAGAGAAGCCCAGAGUGAAGACC